rnacentral:rRNA from 1 species
CGAGUGGCGAACGGGUGAGUAAUACAUCGGAACGUGUCCGCUCGUGGGGGACAACCAGCCGAAAGGUUGGCUAAUACCGCAUGAGUUCUACGGAAGAAAGAGGGGGACCCGCAAGGGCCUCUCGCGAGCGGAGCGGCCGAUGACUGAUUAGCCGGUUGGUGAGGUAACGGCUCACCAAAGCAACGAUCAGUAGCUGGUCUGAGAGGACGACCAGCCACACUGGGACUGAGACACGGCCCAGACUCCUACGGAAGGCAGCAG